rnacentral:rRNA from 1 species
ACUACGGGUGGCAGCAGUGGGGAAUAUUGGGCAAUGGAGGCAACUCUUACCCAGCAAUGCCGCGUGAAUGAAGAAGGUCUUCGGAUUGUAAAGUUCUUUAAUUGGGGACGAAAAAAAUGACGGUACCCAAGGAAUAAGCCCCGGCUAACUACGUGCCAGCAGCCGCGGUAAUACGGAGGAUGCGAGCGUUAUCCGGAUUUAUUGGGUUUAAAGGGUGCGUAGGGGGGCUGUUAAGUCAGCGGUAAAAGCCCGGGGCUCAACCCCGGCGAGCCGUUGAAACUGGCUGUCUUGAGAUGUCGAGAGGUAUGCGGAAUGCGCAGUGUAGCGGUGAAAUGCUUAGAUAUUGCGCAGAACUCCGAUUGCGAAGGCAGCAUACCGGCGGCGAUCUGACGCUGAGGCACGAAAGCGUGGGUAUCGAACAGGAUUAGAUACCCGAGUAGUC